GCUGGGAUAGUUCACUUGGUAGAGCAUGAGUCUCUUACUCUCAGGGUUGUGAGUUUGAGCCCCACGUUGGGCA